rnacentral:rRNA from 1 species
AUGAUGACGGUACCCGCAGAAGAAGCCCCGGCUAACUUCGUGCCAGCAGCCGCGGUAAUACGAAGGGGGCUAGCGUUACUCGGAAUUACUGGGCGUAAAGGGCGCGUAGGCGGCAUGGUCAGUCAGGCGUGAAAUUCCUGGGCUUAACCUGGGGGCUGCGCUUGAUACGGCUGUGCUAGAGGGCGGAAGAGGGUCGUGGAAUUCCCAGUGUAGAGGUGAAAAUUCGUAGAUAUUUGGGGAAGAACACCGGUGGCGAAGGCGGCGACCUGGUCCGUUACUGACGCUGAGGCGCGACAGCGUGGGGAGCAAACAGGAUUAGAUACCCUGGUAGUCCACGCCGUAAACGAUGUGCGCUGGAUGUUGGGGCCCUUAGGGUCUCAGUGUCGUAGCUAACGCGGUAAGCGCACCGCCUGGGGAGUACGGCCGCAAGGUUGAAACUCAAAAGGAAUUGACGGGGG